rnacentral:rRNA from 1 species
CGCCAGACUCCUACGGGAGGCAGCAGUGGGGAAUAUUGCACAAUGGGGGAAACCCUGAUGCAGCGACGCCGCGUGAGUGAAGAAGUAUUUCGGUAUGUAAAGCUCUCUCAGCAGGGAAGAAAAUGACGGUACCUGAGUAAGAAGCCCCGGCUAACUACGUGCCAGCAGCCGCGGUAAUACGUAGGGGGCAAGCGUUAUCCGGAUUUACUGGGUGUAAAGGGAGCGUAGACGGCAGUGCAAGUCUGAAGUGAAAGCCCCGGGCUUAACCCGGGAAUUGCUUUGGAAACUGUACGGCUAGAGUGCUGGAGAGGUAAGCGGAAUUCCUAGUGUAGCGGUGAAAUGCGUAGAUAUUAGGAGGAACACCAGUGGCGAAGGCGGCUUACUGGACAGUAACUGACGUCGAGGCUCGAAAGCGUGGGGAGCAAACAGGAUUAGAUACCCGUGUA